rnacentral:rRNA from 1 species
UACGAAGGGUGCAGGCGUUACUCGGAAUUACUGGGCGUAAAGCGUGCGUAGGUGGUUCGUUAAGUCUGAUGUGAAAGCCCUGGGCUCAACCUGGGAAUGGCAUUGGAUACUGGCGACCUAGAGUGCGGUAGAGGGUGUGGAAUUCCCGGUGUAGCAGUGAAAUGCGUAGAUAUCGGGAGGAACAUCUGUGGCGAAGGCGACACCCUGGACCAGCACUGACACUGAGGCACGAAAGCGUGGGGAGCAAACAGG